UACAGAGGUCUCAAGCGUUGUUCGGAUUCAUUGGGCGUAAAGGGUGUGUAGGUGGCGCGCUAAGUCGGGUGUGAAAUCUCGGAGCUCAACUCCGAAAUUGCACUGGAUACUGCUCUGCUAGAGGGCUGGAGAGGAGAUCGGAAUUCACGGUGUAGCAGUGAAAUGCGUAGAUAUCGUGAGGAAGACCAGUGGCGAAGGCGGAUCUCUGGACAGCUCCUGACGCUGAGGCGCGAAGGCUAGGGGAGCAAACGGG
rnacentral:rRNA from 1 species